rnacentral:piRNA from 1 species
UAGAUUAUGCACAGUAGAUAGUUCAAGUG